GACGAACGCUGGCGGCGUGCCUAACACAUGCAAGUCGAACGGAGUGGCGAACGGGUGUGUAACACGUGGGUGACCUGCCCUGCACUUCGGGAUAAGCCUGGGAAACUGGGUCUAAUACCGGACAGUGUGGGAUGGGGGUGCGGCCAAUCAGCUUGUUGGUGGGGUAAUGGCGUACGAAGGGGGCGACGGGUAGCCGGCCUGGGAGGGUGGACGGCCACAUGAGGACUGGGGCACGGGCCAGACGGCUACUGGGGACAGCGGUGGAGAAUAUUGCGCAAUGGGCGGAAGUCUGAUGCAGCGUCGCCGCGUGGGAGAUGACGGCCUUCGGGUUGUAAACUCCUUUCACCUUCGACGCGGUAGCUGGAGAAGAAGCACCGGCUAACUACGUGCCAGCAGCCGCGGUAAUUC
rnacentral:rRNA from 1 species